GGUGGGGUGGCCGAGCGGUUGAUGGCACCGGUCUUGAAAACCGGUUUGGGCGCAAGUCCAACGUGGGUUCGAAUCCCACCCCCACCG
rnacentral:tRNA from 1 species